GACGAACGCUGGCGGCGUGCUUAACACAUGCAAGUCGAACGGAAAGGCCCUGCUUUUGUGGGGUGCUCGAGUGGCGAACGGGUGAGUAACACGUGAGUAACCUGCCCUUGACUUUGGGAUAACUUCAGGAAACUGGGGCUAAUACCGGAUAGGAGCUCCUGCUGCAUGGUGGGGGUUGGAAAGUUUCGGCGGUUGGGGAUGGACUCGCGGCUUAUCAGCUUGUUGGUGGGGUAGUGGCUUACCAAGGCUUUGACGGGUAGCCGGCCUGAGUGGGUGACCGGCCACAUUGGGACUGAGAUACGGCCCAGACUCCUACGGGGGGCAGCAGUGGGGAAUUUUGCGCAAUGGGCGGAAGCCUGAUGCAGCCACGCCGCGUGCGGGAUGACGGCCUUCGGGUUGUAAACCGCUUUCGCCUGUGACGAAGCGUGAGUGACGGUAAUGGGUAAAGAAGCACCGGCUAACUACGUG
rnacentral:rRNA from 1 species